rnacentral:rRNA from 1 species
UACAGAGGGCGCGAGCGUUGUUCGGAUUCACUGGGCGUAAAGGGUGCGUAGGCGGUCGGGUAAGUCUGACGUGAAAUCUUCAAGCUCAACUUGGAAACUGCGUCCGAUACUAUUCGGCUAGAGGAAUGGAGGGGAGACUGGAAUACUUGGUGUAGCAGUGAAAUGCGUAGAUAUCAAGUGGAACACCAGUGGCGAAGGCGAGUCUCUGGACAUUUCCUGACGCUGAGGCACGAAAGCCAGGGGAGCAAACGGG